CAGGUGUUUAUCCAGCACUCACUCUGCACCAGGCACCUUCCAGGUGCUUGGGAUAAGAUGGACAACAGGGCAGGCACAGCUCCUGUCUUCAAGGAGCUCAUGGUACAAGUGAUAUCACACCCAGUUUACAGAACCCAGACUUGUUCCUCUGGGCCUGAUGUCUGUUCCUAGACCUCGAAAUCUUCCAGAGACAAUGCCCAGGUCAAGGAAUGAGUGGGAAUUCCUGACACCAUGGCUGGACAGAAGAGGAGAGUCCUGAGUGGGGGCAGGAAGGAGAGUUCUUGGCUGC